UCCUGGUUAACCCAGGCAGUCUCACUAGAGUUCCCACCAUAACGUGUUGGCAACUAAUGAUAAGGGUUGCGCUCGUUGCUGGACUUAACCAAACACCUCACGGCACGAGCUGACGACAGCCAUGCAGCACCUGUGCCAAGGCCCCGAAGGGAGACGCUAUCUCUAGCGUUGUCCUUGGCAUGUCAAAUCUGGGUAAGGUUCUUCGCGUUGCAUCGAAUUAAACCACAUGCUCCACUGCUUGUGCGGGUCCCCGUCAAUUCUUUUGAGUUUCACCCUUGCGAGUGUACUUCCCAGGCGGUAUACUUAUCGCGUUGGCUUCGGCACAGCCAGGGUUGAGUCCGGCUACACCUAGUAUACAUUGUUUACGGCAAGGACUAC
rnacentral:misc_RNA from 1 species